UGAGCCGCACUGUCGUGAAUAGGUGUGAGUUGAAUACGGCUAACACGACAGACACACAAACCUAAAUGACAUACUAGCUAGCAGACGGUAAAAGUUUGUCAUCAUAGUAAGUAGGUUGACUGUUGUCAAACCAAGCUGCUAAAUUCAAGCAAAAAUGAAGGCAAUUUUGGAAUAUGUGAAGCAAUUUUUGCUACAAAGAGUGUUUAUGUACGGAUUGAUUAUAUUGGCAAGUUUAUUUGUGGUUUCACCGCUUGGUUCCUUACAGACGACGUUUAAUGAAAAUUGCCUGCUGUAUUCUGAUGUGAACUAUACAACAUGGAAUAAUGUACAUUAUUUUGCUGUUAAAUUUGGUUCCAGUUCUAUCUGUGAUUAUGAUUUAGCUGUAGCUGUUAUAUUUUGUAUAUUUUAUCCAGCUAUACUUAUCGCAGCUAACAUAUUUCUCUUCUUUAGAGAAAAGGCCGAUAAAAAAGUGGAUCUUUCUCAUUUCUUAUUUGUUGGUAAUUGUAUAUUAGAUAUGGUUAUAACUAUAUUGGUGUUAGUAAUGGCGUGUACUAUUAGCGCUGGUUUCACGUACCUGUGUGAUCAACUUAUGGCGGGACAAAGUCUAGGCAUGCCAAUAUCAAGUUGCUCUGACGCCCAAAGGUUUGAAAAUUGGAGAGAGCUAGAUGGUUCUAAUUUCCACCUUGAUUUAUCAAUAGCAACGGCGGGAAGCUGGAUCACGUUCAUAUUCUGGUUUUUACAAGCAUUUUUUGGAAUGUGGAAAUUAUGGAGAUUAAAUAUGUUACCAACAGUGCCUGAAAAAUUCAAGUUUUGUUUUAAGAAUUCUUGAAAACGUUCAAGAAUAUAAACAAAAACAAAGUGUUCGAUAUUCAAAGAUAUUGUAUUCCAGGAAUUAAAAUCAGAGAUCCGUGGAAUCGAACCAAUUCGUAUAAUUUAUUGUGACUGUGAGACUGUUCAAUCCCUCUACGUUUAGACGGCCAUUAACGAUUUUUAUUUAAUCAUCAUUGAACUCAUACAUAACCUGUGUCUUCGGGAAUGCCGAGUUGGACAUAACGAUGUUUAACUGUAUAUUGUAAGAACAAUUAUAUCACAAACUAUUUACAUUUCAUAUUGAACGUUGAAACCAUUUUGUGUAUUCAGUCGGUAGGCCUGUGCAUAUUUGUCAAAAGUUUGGUGUAAGCUGUUAUUGCCAAGAUGUUUUCAAAGCUGUGGUUGUGAAUGGACGGAUGUAGUUUAUCCUCCAGAUGAAAAACAAACUCCUGCACAACAAACAAUUUGAACCAUAUACUGGGUCUUCUUGGAACAUCAUGGAAUAUGCACUUUUACUUUAUGCAAAUUGCAUAAUGAAUAAUAAGUCAUGCCGAAAAGUGCUAAAAUAUGACAAUUAUUAAGUUUGUGUUUGUGAAACGACUAUGUAUAUGUUUCGUAUAUUAUGAAAUGUACAGAACAGACGUCCCUUUAUCUAAUUCUAAUGUUUCAAUUUGUAUCCGACAGCCCAUACGAUUUGAAUCAUUCGACGUAAUGUGUUUACAUUAGAACCUCUAAGCUCCUAUUUCGACGAAAUUCUAUGUGUUCAGGCUUAGACAUGUGGUUUUGGGUGGUGGUAAUUCAGGUGCGCAUACCACGGAUUUCAUUCGUACCCAAAAGAAGAAGGUAACGUGUCUGUCGGGUUAGUCCCCCCCCCCCUUAAAAUAAAGUCAAGAAUCCGUACUUUAAUAGCAGAGUUAUGACUAAUUCCUAGGAACGGUCUCUGAUCUCCGAUUGAACGCUGUCCACUGGCCGUUCCUGUUCAUCCCUAUUAAGCUGCAAUAUGAAAAUACCGCUCUACCUUCAACUCUGUUCUAAGGCUAUUUUUCACCGUGAUUCUUCUUUUUUCGACAAAAGGAAUCAUUUCUCGCCACAUCUGACACAAAUGUAGGCUAUCCAACUCUAUUUCCAAGUAGAAUUUUGCGAUUCAGCCACGAAACCGCGACCUCCUGUCUGCGCAAACGCGAAUUUUGUUUAUGUUUUUUAAUCGCAAAAUUCUACUUGAAAUAGCGUUGAAUUAUUAUAUAUUUUUGUCAGAUGUGGCGAGAAAUGAUUCCUUUUGGCGAAAUAAGAAGAAUUACGGUGGAAAAUAGAAGGUAAGGGUUACAAAAUAACCCUAGAACAGAGGUGGGGUAGAGUGGUAUUUUCAUGCUGCAGCUUAAUAGGGAUGAACAGGAACGGUCAGAGGACAGCAUCCGAUCAGAGACCAUUCCUAAAGGAACCAAGUUAUGACUACUGAAUUGGAUUGUGAAGCAAGCUGAACCAUACGAUAAAAAUUGAUAAUUUUGAUGCUGUACAUUAAUAUCAUGGAAUCUAUCCUGUGGUAUCAUACAAUUUAUAAUAAUAACAAUAUCUGGUACAUCUAUUACUGUAUUACUGUGUUAUAUUUAUGUAUUAUGAGUUAUGUAUAUGUACUAAAAAAUAAAAUUAUUGUAAAGAAAAAUAAAAUUAUUGUAAAGAAAAAUAAAAAAUAUGCUAACGUGUAAAUUGAAGGGCCAAAGUU